CUUGGUCAUUUAGAGGAAGUAAAAGUCGUAACAAGGUUUCCGUAGGUGAACCUGCGGAAGGAUCAUUACAAGUGAGGCUACCGAACGUUGGAAACAGCGGUUAGGAGCUUACACCCACCCGUGUUUACAUACUAUUGUUGCUUUGGCGGGCCGUGGCCUCCACUGCGGGCUCUGCUCGUGUGUGCCCGCCAGAGAACCAAACUCUGAAUGUUAGUGAUGUCUGAGUACUAUCUAAUAGUUAAAACUUUCAACAACGGAUCUCUUGGUUCUGGCAUCGAUGAAGAACGCAGCGAAAUGCGAUAAGUAAUGUGAAUUGCAGAAUUCAGUGAAUCAUCGAAUCUUUGAACGCACAUUGCGCCCUGUGGUAUUCCGCAGGGCAUGCCUGUUCGAGCGUCAUUUAACCACUCACGCCUAGCGUGGUAUUGGGGCACGCGGUCUCCGCGGCCCUCAAAAUGAGUGGCGGCGCCGGUGGGCUCUAAGCGUAGUACAUACUCCCGCUAUAGAGUUCCCCCGGUGGCUCGCCAGAACCCCCAAUUUUUACAGGUUGACCUCGGAUCAGGUAGGGAUACCCGCUGAACUUAAGCAUAUCAAUAAGCGGAGGA
rnacentral:ncRNA from 3 species